CGCUGAGCUCUGUGUCGGCGCCCUGCUGAUACUUUCACGUUACACAUUCUUAAGAAAACAAGAGGAAGGUCGCUUCGCAUUGAAGGAUAAGCCUUGGCCAUUGCAACCGGAAUGUGACAGAUUGGAUGGACCACGAUCUCCAUCGCCAGUCUCCUCGAGGAUGAACAGGCUCCCUCUGUGCUGCUCCAGGACGACAUCCCACUCUGUGAAGAGGCGGCUCUGCAGCUGGACAGAGCUGAAACCUCAGGAUCCUCCUGUUAACGGAUCACCAGAAUCUGGACUCACACUCCCAGAUGACAUCAGUCACACCAGUCAGUCAGCUAUUCUCCUCUUGUGACUGAAGGCAGAGGCAGCAAGACACAGCUUGCCGUGUGCGACAAGUAAGCAACAGUAUCCAGCCAUUCAUCCCAGCUUACAGACAGCUCUAAAAUAUGUCCCUGUCCUGAAGGCAGUGGGUCCAGAUGGCCACCCUAAGCACUGCAGCGGACUAACAGUAACUCUGUCUCUCCUCCAGCUGUUUCUGUCUUCUAGCUGACAGGUAUUCAACUGUUUUUCCAAUUGAAGCAUUCCCUGGACAGUUGUGUUAAAUCUCCCCCACACACACAGACGUCGUGAACUAAGUAGAUCAAUUGUACAAAUGGCAAAGUUCACACAAGGGAGGGCAAUCCUGGUCCAGGAGGGUCUGUGUCUCCUUGGUCGUCUUUUCUAGGUUUCUUUGAAGCAACAGCUCCUGGACCAGCAAGAGUCACCCCUGCUUCAGACAGUGAUGGCUGAUAUGCAGGGCCUGUCCAUCACAGGGCUCUCACACACAGGAGUCAGAGAUCAGUUAGCCAGGGGAACAUGUCUUUGGGAAGAAAUCUGGGAGAACUGUGAGGAAGCUGCACCUACAGUACCACAGUGCCACUGUGCUACCCAUUACAAUGUACCAAUUAGAUUUGUCGUUUAUUAGUAAAACAGCUUUAAAUAACAUUAAAUAACUGCGUUUAAGAAUUGUAGCCUGUAAAUAAUCACUCAGGUCAGAGUGCCUACUGUCUUUUCUUAAUAAGGCUUUGUUUAAUGAGUCUUAAUUCUUUGGAAACCCGCGUAUCCCCAUACAAUCGAGUGAGAGUCGCGUUACAAAGUCGCUGACGGGCAGUUUAUUGAAUAACUGCAGUUCAAGCGCUCCCCCUUGUGCUCACUGCCUGUUAAUCACAGUUUUGCUUUUGUUUGGGGGAAUUGCGCAGUUUUACUCUUUUAAAAAGUGCGUUCACAGGCAUGUCGGCCUGUCUGAGCAUGACAGAUUUUUACCGCCGAUGAAACUUUCUUGGACUCUCUUUAGACUGACCCCAACGGAGGCCGAGGCGUGCAAACUGGGAGCGGAAAAACAAAUCUCCAGCAAAACUGCUGAGCCAGACAUUGCUUCAUCGCUAUUCUUGAGUUACAAACCGAUCUGCACUUGGAAAAAUGUGUUACUGAUCCAGUUAAGGUUAAACUAGACAUAUAUAUGAUUUUUCCGUGGUUUUAAGCUGUUAUCAAUUAAAAGAGACAUAAAAACCCAAAUAUAUUCCGAAUCAGGAGGUCAGUAGAUUGGAUAGUUGGGAAGAGUCUGCGCAGAAUUACAUUGACGAUCCAAAACAACGCACCAUCUCCUAUAAACAGAAUAGCCGUUUCACCUCUUCUGUUUUUAAGAAAACAAGGUCAAGUCAUUAAGCAUAACCCUAAGUGAAACCAAGUACGAAAAUUAUUUAAUUAACUGCUUAGUCAGCAGCCGUAUCACCCUGCAACUCACAACUGACAACCUCCAGAAGUUCAGCAGUGUGAGCCCGUCCAGCACCUGGAUGGAGACUCCUGAGGAAAACUGAACCGCUGCUGAAAGAGGUGUUAGUGGGGCCAGCAGGGGGCGCUCACUCCAGCCUGUGUGGGGUCUUAAUGACCCCGUAUAGCGACGGGGACGCUACACUGUAAACAAGCGGUGUCCUUCGGAUGAGACGUAAUUCCAAAUUCCUGACUCUCCGUGGUCAUUAAAAACCCCAGGGUGUCCCUCGGAAAGAAUGGCUGUGUUAACCCGACGGCCUGGCCAAACUUCCCAUUUGUCCUUUACCAGUCUUGGCCUCUUAUUAAAUCCCAACUAUAAGUUGGCUUCAUCAGUCUGCUCUCCUCCCCAAUGAGAGCUGGUGUGUGGGGAGCGCACUGGCGCAUCAUCCAGGUGGGGCUGCACACUGGU